ACUGCUGGUGUGUCUGGGUCGUCUGCAGGCUGAGGAGCAAGCAGAGCCAGUCCGAGUUCCAAAACAGAAGAACCUGGAGUCCAGUGUUGGAAGGCAGGAAGCACCCCGCACGGGGGAAAGACACAGG